AACAUCGCCUGUGGUUCCGAAAGCGCCAAAGGAGUUGGCAGCGGCAAUGAAAGCAUCGUAUGUAUAGAAACCAUUGCCAGGGCAGUUAGCAUCGUUACGAUGCUUUAAUAUCUCAUUGAACAGGUCGCGGCUGAUAAGCGGACUGAUAUCAGCCAAGCCCCUUAAUGCAGAUGCCAAAACGAACAGAAUCAGAGCCAAGAACCUCAUUUUUUUUUUCUGCUUGGCUAGCUACUGAAGUGUUUUACGCGUGGGAUGUGGAGUCCCAUGUGAAGGAUCAGGCUGGUAUUUAUAGAGUGGGUCAGGAGAGAGAGAGAUCCUAACAAAACCUUAUUCUUCUUAAUAUUCUAGAGACGAAGGCGGCCUUUAUCUGUUAGGCUAAAAACCUCCAAUCCAAUCACACCAGCGGAAACGAAAUCAAACAAUAAAAUCAAACAGACAAGAGACAACAAUUUAACGUGGUUCGGUCCAACUGACCUAUAUUUACGGAUGAGAAACAAGAUUCACUAGUUGUAGAGAAUUACAAACUGACAUCAAAUCAUCAACCUCACUCAACAAUCAAUACUCAUAAGAUACUUUCAGUCUCCUCUAGUCCUAUUAAGUAUUCUCAAUCCAAACAAACCCAAACCCAAACCCAAACCCUUGUGCACCCUUUCAACAUAACCAAACACAUAACCAUAUGCUCCCAUACAUCAUACCUAUGUGGACCCUCUCAGUCUCCUUUAGUCCACUCAUAAAUAAACAUACACACCCAUAAGACGUAGAGCCCCAAUAUUUCUAUGGGGUGUCUAUCCCACAAAAUCCUAUAGCUCUCUUACAUCUUUUUCUCAUACCUAACCCUGUAGAGACUUCACGUAUUUAUAACCAUGCAAACUUGCCCAUUAAGAAUCACUCUCCUCUUAGAAUUCUUCUCCUGUAAGUCAAACUUGCCUAUUAAGAAUCCAUUUCCUUUUAGAAUUUUUCUCUUCUCUUGCAAGUCAAACUUACCUAUUAAGAAUCUUUUUUCUCUUAUAAUUAUUCUUUUGCAAGUCUUCUUGUCCAUCAAGCAAUAUCUGAAAAAUCUCAAACAAAUCGCAAACAAAUCUCUUACGAGAUUUGAGUCAUUAUUCCCAACAUUAUCAUCACAAAGUAGAAGUAUGAUGAUUGCUUGAAAGCUUGUAUACCUGACAAAUAUGAGAAAGGGCGAACAGGUAUCGUUCUUGGACCGUUUUCUUAGUCCAAGCUUAUCUUGACAUGACUUAACCAAGUUGGAAUAAGUUGAAAUUCCAUUUUGUUAGAAUUCAUAUGUUUUUGUCUCUGCAAGUGGCGUUGAUUGCAGAGAAAAUAUUCAAGCUGAGCAGCCCGAAAAAAGAAAACAAAUCUUAUCCUUGUCAGAUUACAAAAUUAAGAAAUAACAUGCAAAAACCUAGAUAGCUACGGAAGUACUUGAAGAAAAUGAGGCAGAGCAUCCAUUUUGGGAUAUACUUGAAGCUGGCCGGAUGAGUUUUAACACUAGUUCGACCGAUCUCUCCCUUACGAUAAUCUCCAAAUCCUGUUUUUAGAAUUAUAGAGCAAUUUUUUUUCAUAUUACUGUUUAGUAGUAAACAAAUUAAACAUAAAAAGGCCAAAAGUUUUUCAAUUUAUAUAUCUUCAACCAUCCGAUUCUUUUAGUAAUUGCUUCAUAAGAUAAUGGACAAGUUAGAAGAAAUAACUACAUAUACAGAAUAAGAUUUCUUCAAUUGAGAGUUGAAACAGAGAAUAUCAAAAUUAGUAGGGUUAAUGUGUGAUUGAGCCCUUGAACUAUAUUAUUUCUUAUGAUUUUAUACAUAAAAUCUAUAUAUAAAAAUUCGACCUCCAAAAGUAUUAAUAGCGAUAAACUUAAAUACCCCUAUAAAUUUUUAAAUUAACAAAUUCAUCCUUAAAUAUAUAGCUUUUAUUAAUUUAUUUAAAUUUAAUUUAAAUCAACUAAAUUUUCAAAUAGAGUUUAUAUAAAAUUAAACUACUUAGAAUAUUUAAAUUUUAAUUUCAAAAGUGUUACAAGUUAUUGUCUAAAUAUUUUUAGUAAAUAUUUUUAUAAAGUCUAAUAUAAAUAAAUUUUUUUAUUACUAGACUUCUUUUUAUAAUUAGACUUAAAAAGUGUUAAAAAUAAUUGAUUAAAAUACCAUGGGUAAUUUUUUUUUUAUAAAUUUUAAUUUAAAUGACUUUUUUAUUAAUUGACUUUUUUUUUUAUAAGUACAACGAUUUAUCACAUUAAAUGAAAAUAUAAAUAAAAUGAGAUUAAAACUUACUGUGAAUAAGAAUAAACAAUUAUAUAGAUUUUAUUUAUUUAAUUGUUGUACAAACAAUUUUAUAUAUAUAUAUAUAUAGUUUAUAUUGAUAACUAAAUUAAUUAAAAAUACUCAUAUUAAGUAGUUGAAGUGUAUUUGUUUUCUUCUUUUUUAUUUUUACCUUUCAAUUUUUUGUUCCAAUAUGUUAACUAUAUAUGUAUAUUAGUGAUUUUAUUAUUUAUAUGUUUUAUGAGUUGAUCAUUUAAUGAUUGAUAAUAUAAUUAAAUCUUUUUAGUCCCAUGAAAUAAUUCUUUAAUAUAUCAUUUUUACAAUUUAGUUUGACAUCUAUAAUUAAUGUCUCUUUUGUAUUUUUUAUCUCUAGAAUUUUAUAAUUAUUAUUCUUAUGAAUCAAAAUUAAUAUCAAAUCAAAUGCAAAUCAAUUGCAUCAUCUCUACCAACAAUUAACAUUAUGUGAUUCAUUGAACAUUUUAAUUAGACUUUUCACAUUUAGAAUUAGAUGAUUCAGGAGGUUGCACAGCUACUAAUAACUCAAGAUUGGAUAUAUGUCAUAAGAAUUCGAUCCGUUAAAUUGUCAUAUAAAUUAUUCACCUUGAUUGAAACAAUAAUUGACAAUUUUCUCUCAACUCUCAUCUUAACAUGCAUAUAUAUGACUAAUUUAUAUCUUAAGAUUAUUUAAUCUUUCUCAAUUGUAUUAAAUUACUUGCUUUUUUUUUUUUUUUUGCCAUCCAAGUGGUUAAAUAACCUCACAUGAAUUAUUCUAAACAAAAAAUUAUCAAAUGAAGUAAAAUUAAUCGUUUUUAGUAAAUUAUUUUGAAGUGUGACAAAAUUCAUUGGAAUUAUUUUUUUGAAAGUGUUUAUGCCAAAAUUAUAUUCAUUUGUGAACAUUUAUGUUGUUAAUACUGAAAAAUGAUAUCAUUAUAAAUUAUAUAGGUAUUACAUAGCAAGUUUAUUAUUUUUAGAAAUGAAAAUUUCUUAAGAAAACAUGACAAGUACCAAGAUUAGGAAUGUAUUUUAUUUUAGUUUUUAAAAUUAUGUAUUUUAAUAUUUUUAUAUAGUAAAAAUUUAUGUGUAAUAAAAUUUUUAGAUAAAAAAAUUAAACUUUCAGUUGAUAGAACAUAAAACUACAUUCAAUUGAUGGAAGUAUCUAUGGAAGAUUAUUGUAAGCUGAAAAAUUAGACAAAAAAUUGAUAGGAUGUGCAUAACUUUAUUUUUUUCAUAUGACGAAAAAAGUUAAUGCUAUAUGUUGUUCCAAUAUGAAACUCUUUUAUUUGGAGAAAUAUUGUGUACUCUAUUAUUUUCUCUUUUAUAUCAGUUGACGAAUGUUCGCUGUUAUAUCAAAAUUUUUAAAGUUGCCAUAUUAGGUAAUAUUUGUUCAAAAAAAUUGAAAUUCAUCAAGUUAAUUAUCACUUUACAUUUAAAAUAAAAAAUUAUUAUAAAUUAUAAUUUAACUAAACUUAAAAGUGAUUUAAAGGCAUUUAUUAGCAAAAUUCAUUCGAUAAAUCUUUAUUUAAUUAUGCAUUUAGUAUUUCAAUUAUUUUGAAUUUUGAAUUUUUAUAAUUUUGAGUUAGAUUUUAGACUUUUGAUUAGCUCCCAAUUAGGUUGAAUCAAGUUUUAUUAUUUACUUUUAUUCAUAGUAUACUCAAUUAUUCGCUUAUAAACCUGAACAAAUUUAACUUCAUAAUUGUUAUAUACUUCUUUUUGUUUAAAAAACUAGAUUUAUAUCAUUAUAAAUUUAAAUAAAAAAAGUAUAUUCAAUUACUUAUAAUUGUAGUUUCACUUUAGAAAUAAUCUUGAAAUUAAUUAACUAAUUCAACUAUAGAGACAAUAAAAAUUAACCGUUGAAGAUGAAGGGAAAAAACCUUAAAUAAGAAACUUUUAAAUUGUUAUGGAAGAUGAAUAAUUAAUUUUGGAUUUUGAUUGGGUUACUAUUUCAAUUCAAAUUUUGUUUAUAUUCAAUCAUUUUGGGUUUUAAAAAACUACUAAGUUGUUAACUUUUUAAAAUCAAUUGAAAUCAAAUGAAGUUAGUUUAUUUUUACAAUUAUAUGUAUAUUAUUUUUAAUUAAAUUAAAAAAUUAAAAUGAGUAAAAAUUUAAUUUCUAUUCUAUUUUAAUUUUAAAUUAUUUCAAGUUUGAGUUGAUUAAUCAAUGUUAUUUUAGUUAUACUUUUAUAAUAAUGGUAAUAAAUUUCAAAAUAUAAUGAUAACAUAACACAAUAAUAAUUUAAAUGUAAAAGUGAUGGAGAUUCUAUUGAUAAUUUUAGAAAAAAAAAAAAUCUUUAUAUCCAAGUUUUACAGAGAUUAAAUUAUGUAUCUUUUUUUGAGAAAUUUUAAAUUUAUAUUACAAAAAUGUUAAUCUAGAUCAACGUGUUUAUAAUCAUUUAUUUGUUAAUCAAGUUAUUGCUAUAAGAGUUGAGGAAAAUAAUUCAAAACUUGCAAAUGAAAGAGAUCAUAUCAUAAUUCAAACUCAAGCAUGAAGACAACAUAAAAUUAAACAUUAUUUGGGUUAUUAUGUCCCCAUAUAAUAUUCUUUACUCUUUCCAAGUGAAGAAGUUAAUUGCCAUCAAAACAUCAAAAGAGUUAUUUUGAAUAAUAAUAAUAAUAAGAAUGACACAACAAUUAAAAAUAUAUAAUCUUUUGAUUUAUUAGAAGAAAUUUUUUAUGAAAAAUGUGAAAUAUUCUUUACUUUUUCCAAAUUGAGAUGUUGAUUAGCAUCAAAAUAUUAAAAAAAAAAAAAGUUAUUUUGAAUGAUAGUAAUAUGAAUGAAGCAACAAUUAAAAAUAUAUCAUCUUUUUAUUUAAUAGAAGAAAUUUUUUAUAGAGAAUAUGAGAAAAUGAGAAAAUUAGCCACAAUCUCUAUAAAUUUUUUUGUAUGAUUAACUAUGGUUUAAAUAUUAUUUAAAAGAAAUAAAUUAUAUUUAAUGCAUUCUUUUAUUAAUAUUUAAAAGAAGACAACACAUUAAUUAUAUUUUUAAAAUAUAUAUUAUUUUAUUCCGUAUCAUUAAACCAAUCUUUUAAUGCAUAAAAAAAGGGACCAAUCUCUUAAAUGAAGUCGAAGAAAUUAUUGUACUUUUAUGUUAGCAAGGAAGUUUCCAAAGAAAGGGACUUUUUUUUUUUUUUUUUUUUUUUUUUUAAGGAAAUGGGAUUUAGAUAUUCUAAAUUAGCAUAAAUUAUGCGAUAAAAAUAUAAUAUACUAAAAAAUAAAAUUUAUGAUUAUUUUAAAUUUUAAAAUUUGUUAAAACUUUAUUUAAUUAACGAUGAAUUUGAAAUUCUAAACAAAAUAAAGAGGAAACUCAAACCAAUUUUCUUUUUAAUAUAUUAUCUGUAAGACAUAAGUAUAUUGAAUUUUAACUAAAUUUCACAAUUUUUAAUUUUUCAUUUUCGUAAUUUGUAAAUAUACAUAUCAAACCAUAUAUUUAAUCUGUCAAUAAACAUGGCAUAAGUGGAUUUUAUGUUAUAUUUUGACUUAGUCGUGUUGGAAACCCUUUCUUCAAAAAUAAAUAUUUGUUAAUGAAGUCUUGAUUUAAUGAUAAGAAAAAAAAUCUUAAAAUUUGAAGUUUUAAAUUUAAGUCUUUCUAUUUUAAUUGUAUAUUAAUUUAUUAAUUAAUUGUUUAAUAAUUACAACAUAAAAAAAAACUAAGAGAAUUAACACAUCAUAUCACCAAAAUAUUGAUCACCAAAUUAAGGACGAGCUCCUUUUAUUUAUUGAUAUUGAUAUUAUUCCAGAUCAACAUGGUAAAUAUCUCACAUACAUAUAUGAUGAUAUAUAUGUACUAGCAGCGGAUUUUUUUUUUAUUUUAAUAAUUAUAAUAAUGUGAUUGAUAAUUGCUUUUCUUUCAUAAUUAAUUAUUAAAGUGCCUAAGCAAAGGGCCUUUGAUUGUAGCAGUCGAGGUUGUUUCCGUAGCUCACUUUCAAUAUGUCACAAUAUCUCUUAUAGAAUCCGAUUCGAUCCUCAACCUGAGGGUUAGGUCCUUUGCCGCAUUCGAUGCCACCAUUGAUGAUGUUGGUAAUGACCCCAUAUCCAGGGACCCGACCGGCGGCCGUGUCUCCGGCGGAUGGCUUCCACUGACCAGUAAUGACAUCGUGACACGAAGGUUUUGGUGACUGUGGUGUCAUCCAGAACCAAAGAGCUGUCUUGAAAGAAAUGGUCGGGUCCCUUGCCACCGCAUCGGGGUCGUUCAGCAGAUCAACGUUUAUUGCUUUUCCUGCUGGACCAUAGUUGUAGUUGCUGCCAAAGUCAAGGUCAAGGUCAAGUCAAGAUAUAGUAAGGAUUUUCAUUUUUCAACAAGCAAUUUUCCCCCCAUAUUCCCAGCUUUUUAAUCCUAUCAUAUUUUAUUAUUUUAAGGGUAAAAUAUGUUUUUAAAUUCAACGAACUUUCUAUUAAAAAGAUUAAACACACUAUGCUUAUGUUUGUGAUUAGUCAAUAGUUAUGCAUGGAAAAUGAAAACCAAAUGAGCUAUAUAUGCUUGUUGUUUAACAAAAAUGCCUUAAUAGUAAUUUUCUUGGGUCAGAACUCUGAAUCUAGUUAAUUCACUCGAAACAAGUACACUUACAAUGAGAUCUGGAUUGGACCACGGCCAAAAUAUUUUUUACCCGGUGCACAAGGCCAUUGUUGACUUGCAACACAGUAAUCUCCAGGAUUGCCCUGUUCCCGAACGAAGCAAUAUCCCCAUGCGUAUGGACCAUCCGGUGCAGUUGCCCACCCACCUAUACAAGAAUUGUGAAGUACCCCUUUAAUUAUGCCGUCCAUUAACUAUUUGCCAACUAAAUAUUAAUGUCUGCCAACCAUUAACCACGCAUGCAAGACUAAAGUUAUGGAGAUAAUAGAGACAAUCAAGAAGUUAAUUUUUUUUAAUGAGAAAAAUGAACCUGUAGUUUCAUGGGAAGUUUGAGCCAAGAACGCAGCAAUUUCUCUUUUACGAGUAUCAACAUCGCCUGUGGUUCCGAAAGCGCCAAAGGAGUUGGCAGCGGCAAUGAAAGCAUCGUAUGUAUAGAAACCAUUGCCAGGGCAGUUAGCAUCGUUACGAUGCUUUAAUAUCUCAUUGAACAGGUCGCGGCUGAUAAGCGGACUGAUAUCAGCCAAGCCCCUUAAUGCAGAUGCCAAAACGAACAGAAUCAGAGCCAAGAACCUCAUUUUUUUUUUCUGCUUGGCUAGCUACUGAAGUGUUUUACGCGUGGGAUGUGGAGUCCCAUGUGAAGGAUCAGGCUGGUAUUUAUAGAGUGGGUCAGGAGAGAGAGAGAUCCUAACAAAACCUUAUUCUUCUUAAUAUUCUAGAGACGAAGGCGGCCUUUAUCUGUUAGGCUAAAAACCUCCAAUCCAAUCACACCAGCGGAAACGAAAUCAAACAAUAAAAUCAAACAGACAAGAGACAACAAUUUAACGUGGUUCGGUCCAACUGACCUAUAUUUACGGAUGAGAAACAAGAUUCACUAGUUGUAGAGAAUUACAAACUGACAUCAAAUCAUCAACCUCACUCAACAAUCAAUACUCAUAAGAUACUUUCAGUCUCCUCUAGUCCUAUUAAGUAUUCUCAAUCCAAACAAACCCAAACCCAAACCCAAACCCUUGUGCACCCUUUCAACAUAACCAAACACAUAACCAUAUGCUCCCAUACAUCAUACCUAUGUGGACCCUCUCAGUCUCCUUUAGUCCACUCAUAAAUAAACAUACACACCCAUAAGACGUAGAGCCCCAAUAUUUCUAUGGGGUGUCUAUCCCACAAAAUCCUAUAGCUCUCUUACAUCUUUUUCUCAUACCUAACCCUGUAGAGACUUCACGUAUUUAUAACCAUGCAAACUUGCCCAUUAAGAAUCACUCUCCUCUUAGAAUUCUUCUCCUGUAAGUCAAACUUGCCUAUUAAGAAUCCAUUUCCUUUUAGAAUUUUUCUCUUCUCUUGCAAGUCAAACUUACCUAUUAAGAAUCUUUUUUCUCUUAUAAUUAUUCUUUUGCAAGUCUUCUUGUCCAUCAAGCAAUAUCUGAAAAAUCUCAAACAAAUCGCAAACAAAUCUCUUACGAGAUUUGAGUCAUUAUUCCCAACAUUAUCAUCACAAAGUAGAAGUAUGAUGAUUGCUUGAAAGCUUGUAUACCUGACAAAUAUGAGAAAGGGCGAACAGGUAUCGUUCUUGGACCGUUUUCUUAGUCCAAGCUUAUCUUGACAUGACUUAACCAAGUUGGAAUAAGUUGAAAUUCCAUUUUGUUAGAAUUCAUAUGUUUUUGUCUCUGCAAGUGGCGUUGAUUGCAGAGAAAAUAUUCAAGCUGAGCAGCCCGAAAAAAGAAAACAAAUCUUAUCCUUGUCAGAUUACAAAAUUAAGAAAUAACAUGCAAAAACCUAGAUAGCUACGGAAGUACUUGAAGAAAAUGAGGCAGAGCAUCCAUUUUGGGAUAUACUUGAAGCUGGCCGGAUGAGUUUUAACACUAGUUCGACCGAUCUCUCCCUUACGAUAAUCUCCAAAUCCUGUUUUUAGAAUUAUAGAGCAAUUUUUUUCAUAUUACUGUUUAGUAGUAAACAAAUUAAACAUAAAAAGGCCAAAAGUUUUUCAAUUUAUAUAUCUUCAACCAUCCGAUUCUUUUAGUAAUUGCUUCAUAAGAUAAUGGACAAGUUAGAAGAAAUAACUACAUAUACAGAAUAAGAUUUCUUCAAUUGAGAGUUGAAACAGAGAAUAUCAAAAUUAGUAGGGUUAAUGUGUGAUUGAGCCCUUGAACUAUAUUAUUUCUUAUGAUUUUAUACAUAAAAUCUAUAUAUAAAAAUUCGACCUCCAAAAGUAUUAAUAGCGAUAAACUUAAAUACCCCUAUAAAUUUUUAAAUUAACAAAUUCAUCCUUAAAUAUAUAGCUUUUAUUAAUUUAUUUAAAUUUAAUUUAAAUCAACUAAAUUUUCAAAUAGAGUUUAUAUAAAAUUAAACUACUUAGAAUAUUUAAAUUUUAAUUUCAAAAGUGUUACAAGUUAUUGUCUAAAUAUUUUUAGUAAAUAUUUUUAUAAAGUCUAAUAUAAAUAAAUUUUUUUAUUACUAGACUUCUUUUUAUAAUUAGACUUAAAAAGUGUUAAAAAUAAUUGAUUAAAAUACCAUGGGUAAUUUUUUUUUAUAAAUUUUAAUUUAAAUGACUUUUUUAUUAAUUGACUUUUUUUUUUAUAAGUACAACGAUUUAUCACAUUAAAUGAAAAUAUAAAUAAAAUGAGAUUAAAACUUACUGUGAAUAAGAAUAAACAAUUAUAUAGAUUUUAUUUAUUUAAUUGUUGUACAAACAAUUUUAUAUAUAUAUAUAUAUAGUUUAUAUUGAUAACUAAAUUAAUUAAAAAUACUCAUAUUAAGUAGUUGAAGUGUAUUUGUUUUCUUCUUUUUUAUUUUUACCUUUCAAUUUUUUGUUCCAAUAUGUUAACUAUAUAUGUAUAUUAGUGAUUUUAUUAUUUAUAUGUUUUAUGAGUUGAUCAUUUAAUGAUUGAUAAUAUAAUUAAAUCUUUUUAGUCCCAUGAAAUAAUUCUUUAAUAUAUCAUUUUACAAUUUAGUUUGACAUCUAUAAUUAAUGUCUCUUUUGUAUUUUUUAUCUCUAGAAUUUUAUAAUUAUUAUUCUUAUGAAUCAAAAUUAAUAUCAAAUCAAAUGCAAAUCAAUUACAUCAUCUCUACCAACAUUAACAUUAUGUGAUUCAUUGAACAUUUUAAUUAGACUUUUCACAUUUAGAAUUAGAUGAUUCAGGAGGUUGCACAGCUACUAAUAACUCAAGAUUGGAUAUAUGUCAUAAGAAUUCGAUCCGUUAAAUUGUCAUAUAAAUUAUUCACCUUGAUUGAAACAAUAAUUGACAAUUUUCUCUCAACUCUCAUCUUAACAUGCAUAUAUAUGAUUAAUUUAUAUCUCAAGAUUAUUUAAUCUUUCUCAAUUGUAUUAAAUUACUUGCUUUUUUUUUUUUUUUUGCCAUCCAAGUGGUUAAAUAACCUCACAUGAAUUAUUCUAAACAAAAAAUUAUCAAAUGAAGUAAAAUUAAUCGUUUUUAGUAAAUUAUUUUGAAGUGUGACAAAAUUCAUUGGAAUUAUUUUUUGAAAGUGUUUAUGCCAAAAUUAUAUUCAUUUGUGAACAUUUAUGUUGUUAAUACUGAAAAAUGAUAUCAUUAUAAAUUAUAUAGGUAUUACAUAGCAAGUUUAUUAUUUUUAGAAAUGAAAAUUUCUUAAGAAAACAUGACAAGUACCAAGAUUAGGAAUGUAUUUUAUUUUAGUUUUUAAAAUUAUGUAUUUUAAUAUUUUUAUAUAGUAAAAAUUUAUGUGUAAUAAAAUUUUUAGAUAAAAAAAUUAAACUUUCAAUUGAUAGAACAUAAAACUACAUUCAAUUGAUGGAAGUAUCUAUGGAAGAUUAUUGUAAGCUGAAAAUUAGACAAAAAAUUGAUAGGAUGUGCAUAACUUUAUUUUUUUCAUAUGACAAAAAAUGUUAAUGCUACAUGUUGUUUCAAUAUGAAACUCUUUUAUUUGGAUAAAUAUUGUAUACUCCAUUAUUUUCUCUUUUAUAUCAAUUGACGAAUGUUCGCUGUUAUAUCAAAAUUUUUAAAGUUGCCAUAUUAGGUAAUAUUUGUUCAAAAAAAUUGAAAUUCAUCAAGUUAAUUAUCACUUUACAUUUAGAAUAAAAAAUUAUUAUAAAUUAUAAUUUAACUAAACUUAAAAGUGAUUUAAAGGCAUUUAUUAGCAAAAUUCAUUCGAUAAAUCUUUAUUUAAUUAUGCAUUUAGUAUUUCAAUUAUUUUGAAUUUUGAAUUUUUAUAAUUUUGAGUUAGAUUUUAGACUUUUGAUUAGCUCCCAAUUUGGUUGAAUCAAGUUUUAUUAUUUACUUUUAUUCAUAAUGUACUCAAUUAUUCACUUAUAAACCUAAACAAAUUUAACUUCAUAAUUGUUAUAUACUUCUUUUUGUUUAAAAAACUAGAUUUAUAUCAUUAUAAAUUUAAAUAAAAAAAGUAUAUUCAAUUACUUAUAAUUAUAGUUUCACUUUAGAAAUAAUCUUGAAAUUAAUUAACUAAUUCAACCAUAGAGACAAUAAAAAUUAACCGUUGAAGAUGAAGGGAAAAAACCUUAAAUAAGAAACUUUUAAAUUGUCAUGGAAGAUGAAUAAUUAAUUUUGAAUUUUGAUUGGGUUACUAUUUCAAUUCAAAUUUUGUUUAUAUUCAAUCAUUUUGGGUUUUAAAAAACUACUAGGUUGUUAACUUUUUAAAAUCAAUUGAAAUCAAAUGAAGUUAGUUUAUUUUUACAAUUAUAUGUAUAUUAUUUUUAAUUAAAUUAAAAAAUUAAAAUGAGUAAAAAUUUAAUUUCUAUUCUAUUUUAAUUUUAAAUUAUUUCAAGUUUGAGUUGAUUAAUCUAUGUUAUUUUAGUUAUACUUUUAUAAUAAUGGUAAUAAAUUUCAAAAUAUAAUGAUAACAUAACACAAUAAUAAUUUAAAUGUAAAAGUGAUGGAGAUUCCAUUGAUAAUUUUAGAAAAAAAAAUCUUUAUAUCCAAGUUUUACAGAGCUUAAAUGAUGUAUCUUUUUUUGAGAAUUUUUAAAUUUAUAUUACAAAAAUGUUAAUCUAGAUCAACGUGUUUAUAAUCAUUUAUUUGUUAAUCAAGUUAUUGCUAUAUGAGUUGAGGAAAAAAAUUCAAAACUUGCAAAUGAAAGAGAUCAUAUCAUAAUUCAAACUCAAGCAUGAAGACAACAUAGAAUUAAACAUUAUUUGGGUUAUUAUGUCCCGGUAUAAUAUUCUUUACUCUUUCCAAGUGAAGAAGUUAAUUGCCAUCAAAACAUCAAAAGAGUUAUUUUGAAUAAUAAUAAUAAUAAGAAUGACACAACAAUUAAAAAUAUAUAAUCUUUUGAUUUAUUAGAAGAAAUUUUUUAUGAAAAAUGUGAAAUAUUCUUUACUUUUUCCAAAUUGAGAUGUUGAUUAGCACCAAAAUAUUCAAAAAAAAAGUUAUUUUGAAUGAUAGUAAUAUGAAUGAAGCAACAAUUAAAAAUAUACUAUCUUUUCAUUUAAUAGAAGAAAUUUUUUAUAGAGGAUAUGAGAAAAUGAGAAAAUUAUCCACAAUCUCUAUAAAUUUUUUUGUAUGAUUAACUAUGGUUUAAAUAUUAUUUAAAAGAAAUAAAUUAUAUUUAAUGCAUUCUUUUAUUAAUAUUUAAAAGAAGACAACACAUUAAUUAUAUUUUUAAAAUCUAUAUUAUUUUAUUCCGUAUCAUUAAACCAAUCUUUUAAUGCAUAAAAAAAAGGACCAAUCUCUUAAAUGAAGUCGAAGAAAUUAUUGUACUUUUAUGUUAGUAAGGAAGUUUCAAAGAAAGGGACUUUUUUUUUUUAAGGAAAAUGGGAUUUAGAUAUUCUAAAUUAGUAUAAAUUAUGCGAUAAAAAUAUAAUAUACUAAAAAAUAAAAUUUAUGAUUAUUUUUAAAAUUUUAAAAUUUGUUAGAACUUUAUUUAAUUAACGAUGAAUUUGAAUUUUCUAAACAAAAUAAAAAGAAACUCAAACCAAUUUUCUUUUAAUAUAUUAUCUCUAAGACAUAAGUAUAUUGAAUUUUAACUAAAUUUCACAAUAUUUAAUUUUUCAUUAUGGCAAUUUGUAAAUAUACAUAUCAAACCAUAUAUUUAAUCUGCCUAUAAACAUGACAUAAGUGGAUUUUAUGUUAUAUUUUGACUUAGUCGUGUUGGAAACCCUUUCUUCAAAAAUAAAUAUUUGUUAAUGAAGUAUUGAUUUAAUGAUAAGAAAAAAAAUCUUAAAUUUUGAAGUUUUAAAUUUAAGUAUUACUAUUUGAAUUGUAUUUUAAUUUAUUAAUUAAUUAUUUAAUAAUUAUAACUAUAGACAUUCAAUUUGAUCUAGGUUCGGAUCAAUUAGGCCUGAUCCAAAUGGAUAGGCCCAUUUUUAUUUUUUAUUUUUAUUUUUUUCUCUAAAUUCUUAUUAUUUAUUAUUACUAUUAUUAUUUAUUAAUAUACAUAUAUAUUUAUUUAUUUAUUAACAUAUUAUAUAUUUUUUCUUAUUUAUUUUUAUUACUAUUUAUCUAUUAUUAUUAUUAUUAUUAUUUAUUAUGUUAUUUUUAUUUUUAUUUUUGUUUUUGUUUUUCUUUUUAUUCGGCUGGGAUUAGGAUAAAGAUUUAAAGUUCUACAGUGAAUUUGAAAUUCAAUUAGAGUCCAGAUUGGAUUAAAAGAUUGAAUCACAAUCCAAGAGGGAAUUAGGAUUGAUUAGAAUCUCUUCUGAUCAAUCCCUAUAAAUAGGUGUUGGAAUAGAACAAAAAAAGGACAUAGAGAAGAAGCAGAAGCUAAAAAAAGAUUUUGGUGCGUUAAAAUAGCUCUAGGAAUCGGUGGAAAGUUUUUUUAAAUUUUAGGAGAUUUUUUUUUUGGAAAUUUCUGAAAAAUUUCUAGAUUUCGGUUGAAUUUUUUGGCCAAGUUUAAAUUUUUCGAUGAAUUUUUUGGCACCGAUUGAAUUUUUUGGCUAGCUACUCAGUUUUUGGCAACUAUUUCCAAAAAUCGACCAACUUUUCGACGAACUUCCAACAAAAAAUUCAGAUUUUGGUGACAUUUUCCAGAAUUCGAUGAGAUUCAACUAGAGUUUUUUAUUUAUUUAGAGAGAGGAAUGAAGAAAGAAAGAGAAGAGAAAGAGAAAAAAUGAGAGAUUUGCGAAAAAAAACAAAGGUUAUAGCCUUUUAUACUUGCGAAAACGACGUCGUUUUGGCGUUACUGUUUCCAAAAGAUCGCACGUUUUGAAAUCGGGCGAUCCGACCCGAACGUUGACCUGCGUGUGACCCGAGUGCUAGCCCAACCCCGUAGUCGAGCCACCUUUUCUUCCUCAAGCCGAGCCGCUAAGCCGAGCCGUUUCAAGGUGUUUUUUUCAUUAUUUUAUUUUAUUAUUAUUAUUAUUAUUAUUAUUAUUAUUAUUUAUUGAUUAGAUUAGAAUUAUUUAGUAUUUUUAUUUUAUUUUUAUCUUUAUUUUUAUUUUUAUUUUAUUUUUUUCUUUAAAUAAAAUUCAAAAAAAAUAUUUUUAAGGAAAAGUUGAAAGUAUUAAUUUUUUUUGAAAAUAAGUUUUCUAAAAAAAUUUUUGAGAAAAAGUUGAAAGUAUCAAUUUUUCUUGAAAAUAAGUUUUCUAAAAAAUAUUUUUUGAGGAAAAGUUAAAAGUAUCAAUUUUUCUUGUACGAAAGCAAUGCGUUUUUUUUUUUAAGAGAAAAAUAUUUAUAUUUAAAGCUGAAUCAUUUUUUUUUUGUUUUAUUUCUUUUUCUUUUUGUUUUCUCGAAUUUUUUUAAUGUUAAAUAAUCCGAUGAUAAAGCUUCUACAAGUGAAACAAUAGUCUCCUUACAUGCUCUUGAGGUGAGAGAAUUUUUUUAAUUUUUUGCUAAAAGUAUUAGAGUUAAUUGAGAAUAAUUUUCAAUAGUUAAUUACUUGUUAAAUUUUUAAAGCUUAUUGGAUAACACAAAAUUAAGCUGGUACUAUCUUUUGAUGGGCAUUGUGAAAGUGCUAUAACAUUUCUUACACGUAACCGAACUCCCGAACCAUGUUUUGGUUAGUAAACCUGAACCUAUUCUUUUAGGGACCCUUAAACUUAGGUGUUCCUUGAAAGGAUAGAUUCCUUAGGUGACCAAUCGCACAUAGAUAAAAAAGAUUGGUGGCGACUCUUUAAGUUAAUGUCUAGCGAUGGAUCCCCAGAUCUAUACGUUAUGAUAACUUGGCGACUCCACUGGGUACGUCUGAGAGUUAGGCCAGCAAAUAAAUUUAUGUUAUCCAAAAGCCUAAUAAAAUUGAACCUUUUGUAUAGAUUUUUUUAUUCAUUCAUGUUUAUUUACUUUAUUAAUUAUGUCAUUCAUAUGCAUAUGCAUAACAUGAGCUCCAUACUUGAGCUCCGUCCCUCUAUAAGGGAGUAAAGUACCUAUUGUUUUCGUGAGAUUUAAUGCCUCCGUAGUGGCUAGCGAAAUACUUCCACUCAAAUUGAACCUUUUCUGCUUGUAGCCUAUAAUGGGUGAGGAUUAGGCUGCCUUACUAGUCUGUGAUGGACAAUGAUGUAAGGAGCAAUUUGGAAACCUUUAGACUUUAACCUCAAACCACAUAUAGUGAACCUUAAGAGUGCCUAACCUAUAGAUAGAGCCAUCAUUCUUCUCUUUUAGAAUUGAUCAAAAGCAUAGGGUUCAUUCCUCUUUGUGAUGUUUUAAUUUACUUAGUUAUCUAUUUAUUUUUUUUUUUUGGGUAUACUAACAUUUUCUCUCAUUUUUUUGCAUUGGUUCAUGCUCAUAUCAUAAAGUUGCAUAAAGAACAUUUGCUUGAAAGAGGGUCUUCAAAAAAAAUUUUUCAUGGACUCCACAGAAUGACUAGUUUAUUCUUCAUUUGUAUUAGCACCCUGUGAGUCACCCAACGAAGUAAGGAUCCAGUCAGAAAAGAUUCAACUAAAGAUGGAGGAUUGUUUACCAAUCAGAUAUGAUUCUACCUUAUCUCAAGAAACAUCUAUCCUCCUCAAAGAAAUUAAUUUAGAAGAUUUGGUUGAUAUAUGAAAGAAGAUGAGUCCAUCAAGACAAGAGCAGUUUUGCCAGAGACACAAGCAUAUAACACACCUUUUCGUAGUAGUUGUCGACGAUCAACUAAUUAGAGCUGCAGUCUAAUUCUGGGAUCCUGCAUACAAGUGUUUCAUCUUCAAUAAAGUUGAUAUGACACCAACCAUUGAAGAAUAUUCGAUUUUAUUGGGUUUGUACCUUAAGGUUCCUGAUAAGAUAUAUGUCAAAAAACAUAAGUCAAGAUUUCGUAAGGGUUUGGCUCAACUCAUAGGGAUAGACAAAGAAGUUGUGGAUUCUCAUACAAAGAAGAAACAAGAACAAGUUUGCCUACUUUGGAAGUUCUUUCAUGAGUUUCUAGUGCAACAUGCCAAUAAAUAAUGGGGGUUAGAUGUAUUGGCCUUAGCUAUAUAUGAAAUGGUGAAAUUUCCAAAAGUUUUGGGUUAUAUUGAGAUAGCGAUGGUUGACUUCUUCGAGAGUGUGAUCAAUGGUUGUAACCUUUCAAUGGUAAUAUUAGCAGAGACUAUCAGACCCUUCAACAGUAAUUAUGAACCUAUGUUGUAUCAGUAUGGGGAUAAUACAAUGGUCCCAUUUUUAGGUUUAUGGGAGCGACAAAUUAUGCACCACUCCUCGUGAGAAGGCAUUUUGGGGUAAAACAUUUCAUUCUUAUGAUGCAUAGGCUUCAUCAGUUAGAUUUCUCUUACAGUGAGCCAAAAGCAUUUCAGAGGAUGAAUGAGAUAUUAAAGCAUGGAAAAAUCCUCGAAUAGUGAGUCUUAGAUCGUUUACUGAUAAAGUCACUCUAGGGUAUUUGGUUUGGAGAGCAAAACGAAGAUAAAAAAUGGUAUUCACUUAUGAAAGCUUUCAACCACCAAUAAGAGGAAAGCUUGAAGAGACACCAUCAGAAUUAGAGCUUGUGAAAAAAGAGUUGGAGUCUGAAAAUGAUAAGUUAAAGUAAGAAAUCUAAAAGCUUCAAUAACAAAAAGAUCAGUGGAAAGAUAGAGCUGAAAGUCAUGAAGCCAGAGUUUGCAAGAUUGCUAGAGAACGUGAUAUAGCUAUUGAAGACUUAGCAGAGCUACACUAAGAACAUAAAAGGUUAUGUGUGAGAGAAAGGGCCGAAAAGAUAACCAUUGUUGAGCUAACAGAAGAGAAUGCAAGAUUGAAGCAAGAAUAUGCUAAAUUGGAAGAAGAAAGUACCUAAGUACAGACAAAGAAUAACAUGCUGAAUAGCUAUCUAAACAGGCUGAGACAAAAGUUGAAUGAACAAGAAGACCAUAUUGCUGCAUUAGUUAGAGAGCAUAGAGAGUUAUCAUACCAAGUCUAGUGUGGUAAAAAAAAAAACUUAGAAAGAUAGAAAUACAUUGAGCACCUAACGACCCAAAUUUGUAAAGAGGUAUGCAAGGUAAGAGAGAUGGUGAAAGAGACAGAAGCAUUGAAACAAGUGGUGACCCCAGUAAGAGAGCAUGUGCAACGUCUAUUAAACUUCAUUGAAGAAGCUAAGGCCUAGUAUGAAUAGAUCAAACAAUUUUAUAGUUAUAAUUUUAUGAUGAUAAACUCAAUAUAAAUAAAAGUUUUUUUGGAAUAAAUGAAAUCUUUUAGUUAAAUACCAUCUUAAGGUAAAUGUUCUUUGUAUACAUGUAUUUUCAUUCAUUGCAUUCUCACUCAUUACACUUAAGAAAGUAACUAUGAGAUAGUCAUAUAAAUUUGUGAAUUCUAAGAUAUGGUAUUCAAGGUUCAAGGAUAGCUCCAUCUAGCAAGAACCCUAUCCAUCGAUAUAACACAAAAGCCAGAGCCAGAUAAAUGGACAAGAAAAUUCUCAUAGAUUUGAAAAGUUGGAGAAAGCACAAGAAAAGAUUGAGAAUAAGUUGAGCAAGAUUCUAGAUGCUCUCAAUAAGCUGAACAAGGGAAAAAGAAUAGAAAAAAACAUAAGCCAACAAAGCCCUCCAUCACAAAAAGUGGCUGACUUUUUGUAUCCUUUAAGUUUUGGUCCACCUCAAGCCUAGUCUACACAAGAGGUCCCACCACAACACUUCGCAUAUCUUACAUAUUCUAGAAUGCCAUCAGCCUCAAAUCCAGGACAUUACCAUAGCUAUGUAAAUCCUGUCUUUACUAAAAAGGCAGUAAAACUGAUUCUUGAUCUAGAUGACUUACAAAAUAAGGAGAAAGAAAAAGUAAAAGUGACAGAGUCUCAGGAAGAUCUAAAGAUUAGUAUGCUUGAACAAAAGUUACGGGCUGUAGAAGAGAUUAGAUUUUAUGGUUCUGUUGAUGCUGCUGGACUGUGCUUAGUCUCGGAUGUAGUCAUUCCAGCAAAGUUUAAAGUACCAAAAUUUAAAAAAUAUGAUGGUAUGAAGUACCCCAAAACUCAUAUCAUCAUGUGUUGCCUGAAGAUGGCAGCCUAUGCCCGUAAUGAAAAACUAUUAAUGCAUGUUUUUUAAGAUAGCCUUACCGACUCUGCUGCCAGGUGGUAUAUCCAUAUGAACAGAACCCGCAUUCAUUCUUGGAGCGAUAUGGCUCAUGACUUCAUCAGUCAAUAUCGACAUAUUAUCGAUCUGGCUCUUGAUCGUUUAUCUUUAUAGAACUUGAAGGAAAAGGUAAAUAAGUCUUUUAAAGAAUACGCCCAGAGAUGGAGAGAUGUAGCUUCUCAAGUAUAACCUCCUCUGACUAAGAAAGAGACUACAGUGUUGUUUGUCAGCACUUUGAAAUCUUCAUAUUAUAAGAAGAUGAUAAGGAAUGCAAUAAAAAAUUUUAUUGAUACGAUAAUUUCGAGAGAAAUUAUGAAGAGUGCCAUCAAGAAUAGCAAGUUGGAAGGAGGUGAAGCAUCCAACAAAAGAAUCCCAAAGAAGAAAGAGAUUGAAGCUCAGGCUAUGAAUUUUGGUAUACAGUAAUUUGGGGGUUAUCAACCUUACUCACUACAAGGAUACCUUUCAUAUUACCCUACUAUAAAUAACACUUCUCUUUACCCAUACCAACCAUUUGUACAAUUAUCUUAUCUCUAAACAUAUCAACCUCCUCUUAGGCCUCAAAAUACCACAUAUAGUCCUAGCAUUCAGCCUACCCUAAGACCCCAAACUCUUCCAACUAGCCCAAUUAGUGGUUCACGAGAGUAACGAACUACUCACGAAAAAUUUGUAUUUGACCUAAUCUCAAUGACCUAAACAGAAUUAUAUCGUGAGUUUUAUAACAGUCAUCUGAUUACUCCAAGUAAAUUAGAGCCCCUCAAGCCACCUUAUCCUAAGUGAUAUGAUCCCACAGCCUAUUGUGACUAUCACUAUGAGAUUGUUGGUCACUCCACUAAAAAUUACAUCGUCUUGAAAUAUAAAGUACAAUGGUUGAUCAAUGAUGAAAUGAUUAGUUUUGAUAUAACAGGGGUGACUACACCAAAUGUUAGUGAUAAUCUUUUACCUAAUCAUAAUGUCAAUGUUUUGAGUAAAGAACAUGAGUGCCAUUUGAAGAAAAAACGGUAGACAUUAAGACACCUUUCAGUCAACUGUUUGAUAUUUUAUGAAAAGCUGACAUGAUACAACCAGUAAGUUCACACAGCUAUCAUGGAGUAUAUAUAACCGACACUAGUUGUAAAUAUCAUAGUGGGAAAAUAGGUCACUUUAUUAAAACUUGUGAGCAGUUUCACUAAGAGGUGCAAAAGCUCUUGGAUUCAUAUCAGAUGGAGUUACACGAAAGAGGAAAAGAUUUAAAAAAUGUUGAAGUGUCCAUGACUGAUAAGCCUGCAAAGCUGUUUUCAAAGCCAGUGAUAAUUCAUUGUAAGAACAAGCCAAAGUCAAUCAUAGACAAACUCAUUCCCAGGUCGAUAACUUUUAAAGUUCUGACUCCCUUCCUAUAUAAGGAUGACAAAGUUGUACCCUAGAAAUAUGGUUACGAUACAGUAGUUCAGAGGCAAGAAGGGGAUAUCUCUAAAGUUGAUGCCUUCAAUAUAACUGGUGUAAGAGGCAUUACCCGAAGUGAAAGGUGCUACACUCCAAAAAUAUUAAAGAAGGCUAGAAGAGAGAAAGCCAAAGAAAGAGAAGAACGAAAUAACUCUAAAGUAAAACUUGAGAAAGAUCGCCCGAAGCUAGUGUAAAAAAAAAAGCUUAUGAAUUCUUGAAGUUAGUAAAAUAUAGUGAGUAUUCAAUUGUUGAACUGUUGAACAAAAUGCCAGUAUGAAUCUCAUUACUAUCACUAUUUUUAAAUUCAGAGCCACACUGAAAUGCCCUGCUGAAAGUAUUAAAACAGGCAUAUGUGUCACAUAAUAUAUCUGUUAAAUAUGUGAACCAUCUGGCUAAAAAUCUAGUCAUGUCAAAUUAUAUUUUAUUCAGUGAUGAUGAGAUUCUUUUAGAGGAAAAAGAAAAUACCAAGGCUUUGCAUAUCACGAUCAAGUACAAGAGCCAUAUCAUAACCAAGGUCCUUAUUGAUAAUGGCUCCGUUAUCAACAUCAUGCCUAUGUCAACUUGGCAAGGUUACGCAUUGACUACUCUCAUAUGAAAGACAGUCAGAUGAUCGUGAGAGCUUUUAAAAGGACUAGAAAAGAAGUCUUGAGAGAUAUCGAAAUGUCUUUACAAAUUGGGCCGUGCACUUUUAAUGUGAAGUUUCAAGUGAUGGAUAUCUCUUCCUCUUACAACUGUCUACUGGGAAGGUCAUGGAUUCAUAUGACAGGCACUGUGCCCUCUACCUUGCACCAAAAGAUCAAGUUUAAUGUAGAAGGUCAAUUGGUAGUCGUAGUUGAAGAAGAAGACAUGCUAGUGACCCAACCGUCGAAUGCUCCGUAUGUAAAGGCUAUCGAAGAAGCAGUAGAAUACUCAUAUCGAUCUUUUGAAUUAGUUAAUUCUGUAAGUAAAAGACUUAAAAAUCAAUCUUUUUCAAGAAUAGUGAUGAGCUAAGUCAUCAAUAAGAGUUGGUAUCCAAGAUUAGGGUUAGGCAAGAACUUGCAAGGAAUAAAAGAACCCCCGACAGUGGUAGAUAAUAGUGAAAGAUUAGGCCUAGGCUAUGAAGUAGCAGAAUGAGAGAUCAAGAGAAGGCCAGCAGGUAAAAUAGCAAGAGUAAUGGUUAUUCCACACCUAUAUGAGACUUUUAAACUUGUAGGAUUCAUGCACCCAGAUACAAAAAAAAACAUAGAAAAAGCUUUUGCCCAGUUAACCAUUCAUGCUAUCGAAGAUAAAGUGGGGCUUAAUCAAGAAGGGUGGGUCCAUCUUUGUCCGCCAGAUUAUGAGCUGAACAAUUGGAGUGCCAUUGAAGUACCUUUGACCUUUGAAACUAAUUCAAUGUAAUUGUAACAUCCCAAUAGCUAUUGCCCAAGGCAUUGGGAUGAUCUUUUUUUUUUUUGGGUCAUUUAUCGUUUAUUAUUCUAAUAAAGAUUAGGAAGGAUACAUUUUCAUUUAUUUUUUCUUGUGUCUUCAUUAUUGCCACUUUUCCAAAUACAUCUUACUAACAUAUCCCAUUUCAUCCAAUUUCAAAUCCUUAAAUGAACAUGAAGAUAAUUAUGAUAACAAUCAAGAGGUUAGUUUUGAGAAUUCAAUUAACAUUGAUGAACUUGACAAUGAAGAGAAUUCUGAAGAAUAUGUUAUGCCUCCGGACCUAAUGAGAUUGAUUGAACAAGAAAAUAAGUCAAUUGAGCCUCAUCAGGAGAUAGUUGACUUAGUAAAUCUGAAAGAUAAAAAGAAUAAGAAAGAUGUCAGAAUUGGCACUUCACUUUCAUCAGAAGAUAGACAACGUUUAGUAGAUCUAUUUCAAGAAUUCAUAGAUGUAUUUACUUGGUCUUAUCAGGAUAUGCCAGGGCUGAGCACGGAGAUAGUAGAGCACAGAUUACCCCUAAAGUCAGAAUAUAAGCCGGUUCAGUAGAAAUUGAGGUGAAUGAAGCUUGAAAUACUACUAAAGAUAAAAAAAUAAGUGAAAAAAUAGUUUGAUGCAGGUUUUCUACAAGUGGCUAAGUAUCCAGAAUGGAUAGCCAAUAUAGUAUCAAUUUUUAAGAAAGAUAAAAAGGUACAAAUGUGUGUGGACUAUCAUGAUUUGAAUAGAGCUAGUCCAAAAGAUAACUUUCUUUUAUCUCAUAUUGACACACUGGUAGAUAACAUGGCUAGGCAUUUAAUUUUCUCCUUAUGGAUGGUUUCUCAAGAUAUAAUCAGAUAAAAAUGGUUACAGAUGAUAUGAAAAAGACCACUUUCGUGACUAUGUAAAAAUUUUUUUAUUACAAAGUCAUGUCUUUUGGGUUAAAGAAUGUUGGGGUAACAUAUCAAAGGGCUAUGGUAACACUCUUCUAUGACAUGAUGCAUAAAGAGAUUGAAGUGUAUAUAGACAAUAUGAUUGUAAAAUCUUACAAGAAUGAAAAUCAUAUCACCAGCCUCAAAAAGUUAUUUGAGAGAUUGAAAAGAUUCCAGCUUAAGUUAAACCCAGUCAAGUGCAUCUUUGAGGUAAAAUCAGAGAAGUUACUAGGCUUCAUGGUUAGUGAAAGAGGAAUUGAAGUCGAUCCAAACAAUGUACGACCAUUCAAAAUUUGUUACCUCCAAGUACACCAAAGAAAGUUCGAAGUUUUUUGGGAAGAUUGAAUUACAUUUCUCGAUUUAUCUUUUAGCUUACCUAUAAAUGUGAUCCCAUAUUUAAUCUUCUUCGCAAGAAUAAUCCUGAAAAAUGAGAUGAGGAAUGUCAAGUGGCUUUUGAUAAAAUUAAAUAAUACUUGUCAAAUCCUCCAGUGUUGGUGUCACCUGUUCUAAGAAAACCUUUAAUUUUAUACUUGACAGUGUGUGAGAAUUCAAUGAGAUGUGUGAUGGGGCAACAAGAUUAGUCUAGCUGAAAGGAAAGAGCUAUUUACUAUAUGAGUAAAAAAUUCACAGAAUAUGAAUCCAAGUAUUUCUCAUUAGAGAAAAUAUGUUGUGCAUUAGCGUGGACUGUCAAAAGACUCAAACAGUAUAUGCUUUAUCAUACCACAUGGCUCAUAGCAAAAUUGAAUCUAAUUAAAUACAUCUUCGAGAAACUUUAUUUGUCUGAAAAAAUUGCUAGAUGACAAGUAAUGCUCUCGAAAUAUGAUAUUAUAUAUGUAGCCAAAAGGUAAUAAAAAAAGGCGUUAUAGCAGAGUUUCUUGCAGAUCGUGCUAUUGAAGAAUAUGAAUCAAUAAGGUUAAAAUUUCUUGAUGAAGAUUUAAUGAUCAUUUCUCAACUGAAGAAGGGGAAACAUGAAGAAAAGUGUUGGAGAAUGUAUUUUGAUGGAGCUGCUAAUACCUUGAGACAUGAAAUUAGGGUGAUUCUGAUCUCUCCAAAAGAACAAUACUGCCUUGUAACAGCAAGGUUAAAUUUUAAUUGAACAAAUAACAUUGCUGAAUAUGAGGUAUGUGUCAUGGGCUUACAAAUUGCUAUAGAUAGAAGAGUAAAAGUAUUAAAAGUGUUUGGAGACUCAGCUCUAGUUAUAUGUUAGUUGAAAGAGGAAUGAGAGAUGAGAGAUUCAAAACUCGUUUCAUAUCAUAAGUAUAUUUUAGAAUUGAUAAAAAUAAUUUGAAGAUAUCUAAUUUGAUCAUUUACCUCGAUAAGAGAAUCUGAUUGUCGAUGCCUUGGCUACUCUGGUCGUAAUAAUUUGAAUUAAUGAUAAUACUGACAUUCAGCCCAUUAUGUUAGAUGUUAAGAAUAUGCCAGCUCAUUGCUCUAAUGUAGAAGAAGAAGAUAGAAAGCCCUACUAUUAUGAUAUCUUAUAGUAUAUUAAAGAUCAGUAAUACCCAGUUCAAGCAAUAAAAAAUGAUAAAAGAGUCAUCCGAAGAUUGGUUAUGAGUUUUUUCUUGGAUGGGGGUGUUCUGUACAAAAAAACCAUGAUCAAGUAUUACUAAAAUGCGUAAGUAAGACUGAAGCAAGAAAAAUCAUUGAAGAGGUACAUGAUGGAAUAUGUGAGGCACAUACCAGUGGAUACAUGAUGAUAAGAUAGAUCAUGAGAGCAAGACUAGUUGACAAUGGAGACUGAUUGCAUUAAUUAUGCUCGUAAGUGCCAUAAAUGCUAGAUAUAUGCUGAUAAGAUCUAUGCCCUGCCAUUUACUUUACAUGUUAUGGUACCAUCUUAGCCAUUCUCAAUAUGGGACAUAGAUGUCAUCAGUCCUAUCACGCCAAAGGCUUUUAAUGGGCAUAGAUUUAUUUUUGUGAUGAUAGAUUACUUCACAAAAUAGGUGGAGGUAGCAUCAUAUGCAAAUGUAACACGAUCUGUGAUUUGUAAGUUCAUAAAGGGAAAGAUUAUCUGUAGAUAUGGACUUUCGAAAAGAAUUAUUUUAGAUAAUGUCAAGAAUCUAAAUAGUAAGAUGAUGCAAGAAAUAUGUGCUCAAUACAAGAUCAAGCAUCAUAACUCGGUAUCAUACCAUCCGAAAAUGAAUGGAGCAGUGAAGGCAGCCAAUAAGAACAUAAAAAGAAUUCUUGAAAAGAUGACCGAGACUUAUAAAGAUUGACAUGAGAAGUUAGAUUGGAAGAAGUUGAAUGGAUUCAAGAACGCUAUGAAUAGUUAAAUUUCAUAGAAAAAAAGAGAUUAACUGUAUUAUGCCAUGGUCAGCCAUAUCAAAAAAGAAUGAUGAGGGCUCAUGACAAAAAGAUUUGACCUCAUUGCUUUCGAGAAAGAGAAUUGAUCUUGAAGAGAAUCCUCCCGACCCAGCACAGUAAUAGAGAAAAAGAGACUCUGAAUUGAGAAGGACCAUAUGUGAUAAACAGGUUUUCUCGGUUGGAGUGCUGAUACUAACUAAAAUAGAUGAAAAUGAUUUAUCUCAUCCUAUAAAUUUUGAUGCUGUGAAGAAGUAUUAUGUUUGAAAAAAAAAAGAGAAAAAAUGAAAUGAAAGAAAAAAAUGAAAAAAAGAAAAAAAAAGUGAAUGAAAAAGGAGGACUCAAGGCGAAAAUCCUAAAAUGGCGAUUUGAGUCAUAAGAGGUUUAUCUAAGUUGAAAAGCUAAAAAGGCAGCUUAGAUAAAGAGAAUACAACAUCAAAUUUAAAAAUUUGUUGGCAUGGAGACUAGCAAAUUCGAAGGAGCUCCAAGUUGUUAAGUGCAUUAGAUGGUUCAAUUUUCAGAAAAAUCUUGAAAUGUGUUAUCAUAAUUGUCCGAUUGUUCAUUUUUGGGCUUUGUUUCCGCAUACUUAUCCUUGUAAUUCUUUUUUGGCCAAAAUUUGCCAACAUUUUGCUAAUAAAAUAUAUUCUAUUUCACUCUUUGUGUACCUCUUCUGUUAAUUGUUUCCCAACCAUUCUUAUUCUUUUCUUUUAAUACCCUACAAUGGAAAAAAUGUGCAAAUGCAUUCUUACUUUUUGAGUUUGAAAUAAUGAUUGAUAAAUGAAUAAUGGCAUGAAAAAUUUUUACAUUACAUUGAAGAAGUCAAGAGUGAUAAAGGCAGAAUGAAGAUGUUUAGUUCCUAAUAAGGACAUUGAAUUUGGAAAGAGAUUUCUUACAGGAAAAAUGUGAGAAUGAGUGGAAGAGAUGAUUGAGAGCUACAAUAGCUCGAUCUUAGAAAAGCAGCGUAAUUUGGUCUUUGAAGAAUCAAGGUUUGGGGCCCAAGAAAAGAGCUUGAGAAACUUGAGUACCAUAUUUGAAUAAAAAUUAAUUAGCCAACAUUUGCAUAGCAUGCAUUAAAUUUCACAUGCAUUGCAUAGCAUAUACUACAUUCAAAAAAAUAUAGUGCAUAAAUUCAAGAAGCAGGGGUAUUCCAACAUCCCACAUAGAGAAGAUAGAUGUGAAGACAUUUUCAAAUUUGAGAAAAAGCUUGUCAGGUAAGUUUCUAAUCCUUGAAAUAGGAUGUCUCGUGGUAUUAGGGUUGAUUUGUAAGACCUUUGGGCAUAAUCUUCUGAAAUUCCUUCAAACACGAUUUUCAACUCCUUUGGAUAUGAUUGUCAAGAAACAAUUUAUUUUUCGAAGUUGUAAUGCCUCUGUUUAGAGGAAUAAUCUAUUUUCUGAAGUUGUUGAGCCUCUGCUUAGAGGAGCUUUAUUUAUUUUUUCAAAGUCGUUGAGCCCUUGCUCUCUGUUUAGAGGAGCUUUAUUUAUUUUUCUAAAAUCAUUGAGCCUCUAUUUAGAGGAGCUUUGUUUAUUUUUCUAAAAUCGUUGAGCCUCUGAUUAAAGAAGCCUUUUAUUUUUUAAAAGUCGUUAAGCCUUUGUUUAUAGGAGCUUUGUUUACUUUUCAAAAGUCGUUGAGCCUCUGUUUAGAGGAGCAAUUUAUUUUUUGAAGUUGUAAUGCCUCUGUUUAGAGGAGCAAUCUAUUUUUUGAAGUCGUUGAGCCUCUGUUUAGAGGAGUUUUAUUUAUUUUUCUGAAAUUGUUGAGCCUCUAUUUAGAGGAGCUUUAUUUAAUUUUUCAAAGUCGUUAAGCCUCUGCUUAGAGGAGCUUUAUUUAUUUUUCUAAAAUUGUUGACCUCUGUUUAGAAGAGCUUUGUUUAUUUUUCUGAAAUUGCUCAGCCUCUGAUUAGAGGAGCUUUGUUUAUAUUUUUCAAAGUUGUUGAGCCUUUGCUUAAAGGAGCUUUGAUCAAAUUUUAACAAGAAAAAAAAUGAAAAAAGAAAAGGCGAGUGGAGUCUUGAAUGGGUGUCUACGUCUUUACGCAAUUUCUGUUUCACAAAAAAUAUGCAAAGAGGGGCAGCUGUAGACACCUAAUUUGGUCCAUGCCUGGAUCAAUUGGGCCUAGUCCAAAUAGGUAGGGCCAUUUUUAUUUUUUAUUUUUUUUCUUAAAAAUUUUAUUAUUUAUUAAUAUACAUAUAUAUAUUUAUUAACAUAUAUUAUAUAUAUUUUUCUUAUUUAUUUUUAUUACUAUUUAUCUAUUAUUAUUAUUAUUUAUCUAUUAUUAUUAUUAUUUAUCUAUUAUAUUAUUUUAAUUUUUAUUUUUCUUUUUUCUUCUUAUUCGACUGGGAUUAGGAUAAAGAUUUAGAGUUCUACCGUAAAUUUGGGAUUCAAUCAAAGUCCAAAUUAGAUUCAAGGAUUGAAUCCCAAUCCAAGAGGGAACUGAGAUUGAUCAGAAAUUUUUCUGAUCAAUCCUUAUAAAUAGGUGCUAGAAUAGAACAGAAAAGGGACACACAGAGAAGAAACAGAAGCUAAAAAAGGGUUUUGGUGCGUUAGAACAACUUUAGGAAUCGGUGAGAAGUUUUUUUGAAUUUUAGGCAAUUUUUUUUUGGAAAUUUCUAGAAAAUUUCCAGAUUUCAGUUGAAUUUUCUGGCCAAGUUUAAAUUUUUCGGUGAAUUUUUUAGCACCGGUUGAAUUUCGGGCCAACUACCUAGUUUUCUGGCAACUAUUUUCAGAAACCGAUCAACUUUUCGACGAACUUUCAACGAAAAACCCAGAUUUUGAUGACAUUUUCCAGAAUCCGAUGAUAUUCAUCCGGAGUUCUUCGUCUAUUUAGAGAGAGGGAAGAGGAAAAUAAGGGAAGAGAGAGAGAAAAAAUGAGAGAUCUACUGAAAAACAGAGGUUAUAGCCUUUUAUACUUGCUGAAAAAUGACAUCGUUUUGGCGUUACUGUUCCUAAAGGAUCCGCGCGUUUUGAAAUCGGACGACUCGACCCGAGCGCUGACCCGUUUGUGACCCGAGUGCUAGUCGACCCUUGGAGCCAAGCCGUUCCAAGGUUGAUUUUUUUCAUUUUAUUUAUUUAUUUAUUUAUUAUUAUUAUUUAUUGAUUAAAUUAAAAUUAUUUAGUAUUUCUUAUUUUAUUUUAUUCUAUUUUUAUCUUUAUUUUUAUUUUUAUUUUAUUUAUUUUCUUUAAAUAAAAUUUUAAAAAAAUAGUUUUAAGGAAAAGUUGAAAGUAUCAAUUUUCCUUGAAAAUAAGUCUACAAAAAAAUAUAUUUUUAAGAAAAAAUUGAAAGUAUCAAUUUUUCUUGACAAUAAGUUUUUCUAAAAAAUAUUUUUGAGAAAAAGUUAAAAAUAUCAAUUUUCCUUAAAAAUAAGUUUUCUAAAAAAUAUUUUUGAGAACAAGUUAAAAGUAUCAAUUUUUCUUGAAAAUAAGUUUUCUAAAAAAUAUUUUUUGAAAAAAAAUUGAAAGUAUCAAUUUUUCUUGUACAAAAGCAAUGAGUUUUUUUUUUGAAAAGAAAAAGAUUUAUACUUAAAGCUGAAUCAUUUUUUUUCUUUUUUUGUUUUAUUUCUUUUCCUUUUUGUUUUUUUGAAUUUUCUUUAAUGUUAAAUAAUCCGACGAUAUAGCUUCUGUAAGUGAAACAAUAGUCUCAUUGUAUACUUUUGAGAUGAGAGAAUUUUUUUAAUUUUCUGCUAAAAGUAUUAGAGUCAAUUGAGAAUAAUUUCUAAUAGUUAAUUACUUGAUAAAUUUUUAAGGCUUAUUAGAUAACACAAAAUUAAGUUGGUACCAUCUUUCGAUGGGCGUUGUGAGGGUGCUAUAACCUUCUUUACACGUAACCGAACUCCUAAACCUUGUUCUGGUUAGUAUACCUGAACUUAUAUUUUUAGGGACCCUUAAGCUUAGGUGUUCCUAUAAAGGAUAAAUUCUUUAAGUGACCAAUCGCACCUACAUAAAAAAGAUCGACUACGACUCUUUAAGUAAAUAUCUAACGAUGUAUCCUUAGAUCUAUACGUUAUGAUAAUAACAUUAAAAAAAUUAAGAGAAUUAACACAUCAUACCAUCAAAAUAUUGAUCACCAAAUUAAGGACGAGCUCCUUUUAUUUAUUGAUAUUGAUAUUAUUCCAGAUCAACAAGGUAAAUAUCUCACAUACAUAUAUGAUGAUAUAUAUGUACUAGCAGCAGAUUUUUUUUUUAUUUUAAUAAUUAUAAUAAUGUGAUUGAUAAUUGCUUUUCUUUCAUAAUUAAUUAUUAAAGUGCCUAAGCAAAGGGCCUUUGAUUGUAGCAGUCGAGGUUGUUUCCGUAGCUCACUUUCAAUAUGUCACAAUAUCUCCUAUAGAAUCCGAUGCGAUCCUCAACCUGAGGGUUAGGUCCUUUGCCGCAUUCGAUGCCACCAUUGAUGAUGUUGGUAAUGACCCCAUAUCCAGGGACCCGACCGGCGGCCGUGUCUUCGGCGGAUGGCUUCCACUGACCACUAAUGACAUCGUGACACGAAGGUUUUGGUGACUGUGGUGUCAUCCAGAACCAAAGAGCUGUCUUGAAAGAAAUGGUCGGGUCCCUUGCCACCGCAUCGGGGUCGUUCAGCAGAUCAACGUUUAUUGCAUUUCCUGCUGGACCAUAGUUGUAGUUGCUGCCAAAGUCAAGGUCAAGGUCAAGUCAAGAUAUAGUAAGGAUUUUCAUUUUUCAACAAGCAAUUUUCCCCCCAUAUUCCCAGCUUUUUAAUCCUAUCAUAUUUUAUUAUUUUAAGUGUAAAAUAUGUUUUUAAAUUCAACGAACUUUCUAUUAAAAAGAUUAAACACACUAUGCUUAUGUUUGUGAUUAGUCAAUAUUUAUGCAUGGAAAAUGAAAACCAAAUGAGCUAUAUAUGCUUGUUGUUUAACAAAAAUGCCUUAAUAGUAAUUUUCUUGGGUCACAACUCUGAAUCUAGUUAAUUCACUCCAAACAAGUACACUUACUAUGAGAUCUGGAUUGGACCACGGCCAAAAUAUUUUUUACCCGGUGCACAAGGCCAUUGUUGACUUGCAACACAGUAAUCUCCAGGAUUGCCUUGUUCCUGAACGAAGCAAUAUCCCCAUGCGUAUGGACCAUCCGGUGCAGUUGCCCACCCACCUAUACAAGAAUUGUGAAGUACCCCUUUAAUUAUGCCGUCCAUUAACUAUUUGCCAACUAAAUAUUAAUGUCUGCCAACCAUUAACCACGCAUGCAAGAGUAAAGUUAUAGAGAUAAUAGAGACAAUCAAGAAGUUAAUUUUUUUUAAUGAGAAAAAUGAACCUGUAGUUUCGUGGGAAGUUUGAGCCAAGAACGCAGCAAUUUCUCUUUUACGAGUAUCAACGUCGCCUGUGGUUCCGAAAGCGCCAAAGGAGUUGGCAGCGGCAAUGAAAGCAUCGUAUGUAUAGAAACCAUUGCCAGGGCAGUUAGCAUCGUUACGAUGCUUUAAUAUCUCAUUGAACAGGUCGCGGCUGAUAAGCGGACUGAUAUCAGCCAAGCCCCUUAAUGCAGAUGCCAAAAUGAACAGAAUCAGAGCCAAGAACCUCAUUUUUUUUUCUGCUUGGCUAGCUACUGAAGUGUUUUAUGCGUGGGAUGUGGAGUCCCAUGUGAAGGAUCAGGCUGGUUUUUAUAGAGUGGGUCAGGAGAG
rnacentral:lncRNA from 1 species